rnacentral:tRNA from 1 species
UAUUUUAUAAUUUAUAAAAAAUAUUAAAUUGCAAAUUUAAAAAAAUUCAAAUUAUAAGAAUUAAGAUAU